GCAGCCAAGAGAGAGCGUUGAAGCCCUUCCGAGAGCCCUGCAAGCCUCUGCCUCAGGUGGUGAACUUUCCCAGCAGCUGGACAUGGAGCCUGGAACAGGCAUGCAGCUCGAGGCCCCAAACCAGGCUUUGCAAGAAGAGCUGUCCACUCUGCUUGGGAAGUGUGAACAACUGGAGAAGAGCAAAUGUCAGCUGCAAGAAGAGGUGACAAAACUCCACCACCAUUUGGAGACUUUGGUGCUGGAUGGCAGCCAAAGAGAACAGUGUACAGGAGAGGUGGCAGAAGGAGCUGACCAGGAAAGAAGUGCAAAGCUACAAGAGGUCAGCCUCGUUUUGCAAGCACAGGCAGCCCACCAGGCCCCACUAGGAC